rnacentral:rRNA from 1 species
AACGUAGGUGGCGAGCGUUAUCCGGAUUUACUGGGCGUAAAGGGUGUGCAGGCGGGGUAUCAAGUGGUGUAUGAAAGGGCGCGGCUCAACUGCGCUAGGUUAUGCCAGACUGAUGCUCUGGAGGACCAAACAGGGCUGUGGAAUUCCGGGUGUAGCGGUGGAAUGCGUAGAGAUCCGGAAGAACACCGGUGGCGAAGGCGGUCUGCUGGGCAGUAGCUGGACACUGAGGCGCGACAGCGUGGGGAGCAAACAGG